CAGUAGCCGCGGGAAUACGUAGGGUGCAAGCGUUAAUCGGAAUUACUGGGCGUAAAGCGUGCGCAGGCGGUUAUAUAAGACAGAUGUGAAAUCCCCGGGCUCAACCUGGGAACUGCAUUUGUGACUGUAUAGCUAGAGUACGGCAGAGGGGGAUGGAAUUCCGCGUGUAGCAGUGAAAUGCGUAGAUAUGCGGAGGAACACCGAUGGCGAAGGCAAUCCCCUGGGCCUGUACUGACGCUCAUGCACGAAAGCGUGGGGAGCAAACAGGAUUAGAUACCCCUGUAGUCUCUGUCUCUUAUAC
rnacentral:rRNA from 1 species